rnacentral:rRNA from 1 species
AGAGUUUGAUCAUGGCUCAGAGCGAACGCUGGCGGCAGGCUUAACACAUGCAAGUCGAGCGGGCCCUUCGGGGUCAGCGGCGGACGGGUGAGUAACGCGUGGGAACGUGCCUUCUGGUUCGGAAUAACCCUGGGAAACUAGGGCUAAUACCGGAUACGCCCUUUUGGGGAAAGGUUUACUGCCGGAAGAUCGGCCCGCGUCUGAUUAGCUAGUUGGUGGGGUAACGGCCUACCAAGGCGACGAUCAGUAGCUGGUCUGAGAGGAUGAUCAGCCACACUGGGACUGAGACACGGCCCAGACUCCUACGGGAGGCAGCAGUGGGGAAUAUUGGACAAUGGGCGCAAGCCUGAUCCAGCCAUGCCGCGUGAGUGAUGAAGGCCUUAGGGUUGUAAAGCUCUUUUAUCCGGGACGAUAAUGACGGUACCGGAGGAAUAAGCCCCGGCUAACUUCGUGCCAGCCGCCGCGGUAAUUC